AAAGACUUUGUCCUGGUAAAUAGUGUGGUAUGAACGCACUGAUUCUUCUGUAUUACUUGCUGUUUGCAUAGAGAUGCUAGACUGACGUGGAAAAUAACAACGCCAAACUGCUUGUAACAUUCGGGCAUGCUUUAAAAAUGCCUUGACCUGCUGCCAUGAAUGUAUAAUGAGUCAUUGUCUUAAAAACAACAGCUAUUUUCACAAUUGGGUGUCAUACAUUUAGUGUGAGCCACUGAAUAUAAUCCACAGAAUAAAAAAACAGAAAAGUAUAAAAAUGAGCUAAAAAAAUGGCGAUGUUAAAGUACAAACACAUGGAGAGUCAAGAAAUGUAAAGCCCUCAGAUGUUUCCAUGAUUCAUUUACCCAACUCUGGGCUUUGACUCACCAAAUGGAAACCACCAUGUCAUCCCCCUUCACACACACACACACACACACACAAGUUGGGUGGAGGAUGGAAUCCAAACAAAGCUUUUCUCCAGAACCAGCAGGACCUACAACCUAGAAAACCCGCAAAUGUUCCAUAGUGGGCCAGCACGGGGUGGAAACUUUUACGAUUGGCCAAACGAAACUAAAUCUGGGGAGUGGGUUCGUGACUGCGGGUCUACAGACAUUAUUUACUGGAGUCCAUUUGGUGCUGAUAGAAAAUCAGGGUGACCCCUCCUCUGCAUUUAAAAGCGCGAAGCUGUCCUACAGUCCUGCAGAGUAACUGACUACUGUUCAGUGUGUUUAUCAGAGAGGCCGCCUGGGGGAAGAAACUCUCUGUGCCAACUGGGCUUUGUAAAUAGAGCUCUGUUGCUCUGACUUGAAGAUGUUUCCUGACCUGGACAAGUUCGGGAUGGAGGGAAGGUCAGCCCCAAUGAUCCUCUCUGCAGACCUAACUGUUCAUGCAGUCAAGAGCAAUCUAGUCAAAGAGCUGAAAAACCUUCAAGAUCUGAAGACAUUUUGUGCUAAAGAAUGGCUCAAAGUUAUACCUGAGCUAUGCUUGCAACUAGUUUCUUUAUAGAGGAGACAUUUUGGAGGUAUUACAAAAACUGGCUUUUCCACAGAGUAUUCAAUAAAGUUCCUGAACCUAUGGUGUCAUGUAAAAUGACCAUCGUGUGGAAGUACUGAAGCAACAUCCAUGAAGCUAGGCUUGGUCAAAAAAGGGUCUCCCAAAUGAGCACUGACCUUAAGCAUAAGCUACAAAAGUGUUACAGUACAACAAGUUAAUAGUUUUGAGUGCCUGUCAUAAAACCCCGACCUCAGUCCAAUAGAAAAUUUGUGGAAAGCACUGAGUUUGUGUGAGCAGGCGGCCUACAAAUCAGACCCAGCUACAUCAGUUCAGUCAGGAAAAAUAGGCCAAAAUUUGUAAGAUGCUUGAGGCUACCCAAAACAUUUGAUCCCAGUUAUAAGGUUUAAAAUGCAAUUCUACCAAAUAUUACGGAAAUAUUUGUAAACCUUUGAAUUAAAAACAAAAUGUUCUACAAAACAUAUCCCUCUCUUUAUUCUGGCAUUUAGCAACGUUGUGGUAAUCCUAACUGACCUAAACCAGGAAAAGUUUAGUUCUAUUUAAUCUCAAAAAGUGAUCUGUUUUUAUAGUGUAUUUAAAUAUUUGGCUUCAAUUGUUGGACAAAAAAACCUAACAAUUUUUUUUAAAAGGCAUAUAAAGUGGUAAGUGUAAAUGACAUAAUAAAUGGCUAAAAGAGACAGGUG